rnacentral:rRNA from 1 species
AUUGAACGCUAGCGGGAUGCUUUACACAUGCAAGUCGAACGGCAGCGCGGACUUCGGUCUGGCGGCGAGUGGCGAACGGGUGAGUAAUGUAUCGGAACGUGCCCAGUAGCGGGGGAUAACUACGCGAAAGCGUAGCUAAUACCGCAUACGCCCUACGGGGGAAAGCAGGGGAUCGUAAGACCUUGCACUAUUGGAGCGGCCGAUAUCGGAUUAGCUAGUUGGUGAGGUAACGGCUCACCAAGGCGACGAUCCGUAGCUGGUUUGAGAGGACGACCAGCCACACUGGGACUGAGACACGGCCCAGACUCCUACGGGAGGCAGCAGUGGGGAAGUUUGGACGAUGGGGGCAACCCUGAUCCAGCCAUCCCGCGUGUGCGAUGAAGGCCUUCGGGUUGUAAAGCACUUUUGGCAGGAAAGAAACGUCGCGGGCUAAUACCCCGUGGAACUGACGGUACCUGCAGAAUAAGCACCGGCUAACUACGUG